rnacentral:rRNA from 1 species
CAUGUCCUUUUGAUUUUAAUUUAAGGUUUAACCUGCUCAAUGAUUUUCAAUAAAUAGCCGCAGUAUUUUGACUGUGCAAAGGUAGCAUAAUAAUUAGUUUCUUAAUUAGGAACUGGAAUGAAUGGUUGGACAAGAAAAUUACUGUCUCUUUUUUAAUGUUUUUGAAUUUUAUUUUUAAGUGAAAAAGCUUAAAUUUUUAUAAAAGACGAGAAGACCCUAUAGAGUUUAAUAUUGUUUUUUAAUAAGUAGUUAGAAAGUUUAUUUAGAAAAAAAAAUAUUUAGUUGGGGUGACCGAGAAAAAGAAAUAAUUUUUUUAAGUUUAAAUUGAUAAUUUUCAAUUUAAUAAUCUAAAAUUUUUAAAAUUAAAAUAAAUUACCUUAGGGAUAACAGCGUUAUUUUUCUUGGAAGUUCUUAUUCAAAGGAAAGUUUGCGACCUCGAUGUUGGAUUAAAAUUAAUUUUUGGUGCAAUAACUUAAAAAUUAGGUCUGUUCGACCUUUAAAAUUUUACAUGAUCUGAGUUUAAACCGGUGUGAGCCAGGUUGGAUUCUAUCUUUAAAUAUUUACUAUAUUUUAGUACGAAAGGACCAAAUAUUAAUUAUAAUUAAUUGU